AUUGAACGCUGGCGGAAUGCUUUACACAUGCAAGUCGAACGGCAGCACGGACUUCGGUCUGGUGGCGAGUGGCGAACGGGUGAGUAAUGUAUCGGAGCGUGCCCAGUCGUGGGGGAUAACGUAGUGAAAAUUACGCUAAUACCGCAUACGAUCUAUGGAUGAAAGCGGGGGAUCGCAAGACCUCGCGCGAUUGGAGCGGCCGAUAUCAGAUUAGGUAGUUGGUGGGGUAAAGGCCCACCAAGCCAACGAUCUGUAGCUGGUCUGAGAGGACGACCAGCCACACUGGAACUGAGACACGGUCCAGACUCCUACGGGAGGCAGCAGUGGGGAAUUUUGGACAAUGGGCGAAAGCCUGAUCCAGCCAUUCCGCGUGCAGGGUGAAGGCCCUCGGGUUAUAAACUGCUUUUGUACAGAACGAAAAGGUUUCUACUAAUACUAGGAGCUCAUGACGGUACUGUAAGAAUAAGCACCGGCUAACUACGUGCCAGCCGCCGCCGUAA
rnacentral:rRNA from 1 species